rnacentral:rRNA from 1 species
AUUGAACGCUGGCGGCAGGCUUAACACAUGCAAGUCGAACGAGUGGCAGACGGGUGAGUAAUGCUUGGGAAUCUAGCUUCUGGAUGGGGAUAACUACGAAAAACUGUAGCUAAUACCGCGUACCAUAGUAUGAGCCCAAGUGGGAUUAGGUAGUUGGUGGGGUAAAGGCGCACCAAGCCGACCAUCUCUAGCUGGUCUGAGAGGAUGACCAGCCAAACGGGAACUGGGACCGGGCCAAGACUCUUCGGGGAGGCAGCAGUGGGGAAUUUUGGGCAAUGGGGGAAACCGGACGCACAAAGGCCGCGUGAAUGAAGAAGGCCUUCGGGUGUUAAAGUUCUUUCGGUAGCGAGGCGUUAACUACAGAAGAAGCACCGGCUAACUACGUGCCAGCAGCCGCGGUAAUAC